AAAUAAAAAUAAAAAUAUAAACGAAGAGGAAAAUAAAGAAAUGAGAACAAUAACAAAAAUGGAAAACAAAAGAAAGCCGAUCCCGCGACAUGAAACACGAAAAGAAAAAAAAUAGAUACAAAAAAGAAAAGAAAAGAAAAGUUAAAUAAAGAAAGGAUAAGAAAAAAAAAAGAAAAGUAACGUACUCACCUGAAUGUCGUCGACUCCCUCGCCUCGGAGGAACAGCGCCCGCGGAAAGCAGCACGAGCACGGCCUCCGCGUGGGGGUUAUGGACUCAGGGGUAAGAAGGACAUUUUUCUACAUGGGACCCACGUGUCUGAUCUUUUGAACGUCACAAAACAAACGGAACUGAGACGGAAUGACACACGGGUAUAGUCGAAGAUGAAGUUGGUCACAGCGGUGCGAAACAACUUUUUAGUGGCCUGCUGGUUUGGUCAAUCUUUCAUAAUGACAUACAGGUAAAAAGCUUUGGAUCCAUAAAGCACGAUGUAACGGGAAACAGAGCAGACCAGAGUGGCUCAAAUCCGAGUGAAAUCCCUGUGUUGUUGCCGUUCUCGCAUGGGUGUCUCUUGCAUCACCUCAUGACCAUGGCAUGACUAUGGCAAAUCGUUGAGUAACGUGUCGCAGAAACUCUGGAUUAUUGAUGCAUGGAAGCAUACGGCCGUCCUGUAGUCUAAAAUCUAGUAACCACAACGCAUCCUCCCUCGCGUACAGGAGUAGUCUUUUUUCAUGGGCCGACGCAGUUCAUUGUCCGUUGGCCCGACAAUAUUAUAUCUCUACAACUAAAAAGAGGCAAAUGGUAUCGUCAUACCCUACUGAUCGGCCUGCCUCCCCGCUGCCCCCUUUCUCUCGCCCAUCUCGCCCAGCUACGACCAACCGCCGCAGCUCCCUUCUUCUGCGGUUCCACGCAGCCCCCCAGCAGCUCCCCCAGCACGUCCUUCCAUCGCAGGUCCCCACCACCCGCUCGCCACUGGACGCACUUCACCAUCGGCGUCAACGUCCGCCUGCUCGACUAGCUCUGCUAUCACCGGCGCGGUCCUUCGUUCCGGUGUCGGUGGUCGCGCUGCGGUCGAGCCAGUCGUCCCAGUGUCUGCCACGGGCCAAUCCUGUGUCGUGGGCAGGAGCGCCGCCGCGAGGUGCGCGAUAGGGGUAAGAUGGGAGGCCGCGAGGUGGAGGACAGUCGGGGUGAGGUGCGGCGCCACCGCCACCGCUUCUGCUGGAUUUCGCCACGAGUGGCUCUGCGGCUGCUCACCAGCGAUGAAUCUCGUCGGUUCUGGGGUGUGGAGUAGGAGCACUGCCUCUUCGAGAAAAACCCGACCCCUCCUGCUGCCGCGUGCAGCAGCGAAGGACCUGCUUGAGGAGUUCGAGGAGGAGGCAAUUGAAGGCGAGAGCAUCCAGAGCCUCAUCUUCAUGGACCUUUCUCUCCUAACGAGCUGGAAUAGCUAGCACGAGGAGGAGGCUAUAGCAGGCCACAACACUGAUUUAGGAUGACACCGUGCUGUCCACUAAGCAGGUUGGUUUCACAAUAUAUUUUUUUUGGAAUCCUGUAUGCUACUGAGAAUGUGCAGAUUUAUUAAAAGGCUUUUGAUGGACUUAGACUGCUCAUGUAGCUACCACCAAUCUAAAUGGGUCAUCCUGGCAGAUUGUCCUUUGUGUCCCUCUUCUUGCACACAAAUCAAAUCUUAGCCUUUUAUCAAAUGAUAUGAAUAAGAAGAUGCACAACACACUAAGUGGAAGCAAAAUCGCAGUCAAGUUCUUGCUUAACCAGCAAGAUGCAGAAACAGUUGAUCUGGAGGCGAAGAACAUGUAUGGAGAGACUCAACAUAUGGCAGUGAAGAACAGUUCUUGCAGAUCAACAAAUCUACUCCUUGAUCAUGGUGCACACGUAGAAACCAAAGCCAAUGUAUGAUCUACCUGUUUUGGGUUCUACCUAGGUUCUGAAAUAGAAGUAUAGAACCUUUGUGAGCCUUUAGUUUGUACUGGUAAUUGGCUCACAUGCUAGAGUAACAACUAAACUUCAACAGCUUUAAAGUUUCUUCCUUGACUAUAGAAUAUGUUUCCAAUGUGUUCAUGCAUGCUUGUGCAACAGUGCUUUGUAUCAGAUUUGGACAACUCACUCGUAUUGUCGGGUAUAAGCAGUUUAUUGGAAAGUUCCUUUUAUUUGUGCUAUGUAUUCUAUGCUGAUGUAAUGUGCAUAACAUUUGAAACUGUAAAUCCAAAUAAAUUGCUAUGUAGACCUGCUUCAUGUGUUGGUUGUUAGAUGUUAUUUACCACACACACAGAUGUGUUCGAGUUAUUGUAGGAAUCAUCCUCUUUUCAUUACCAAUUUAUGAUGUGAGAGAAUUGUUCCUACGGAAUCAAGAAUAGAAGGUAUUAUCUUUUCUAGGUCACUGAGAUGUGAAUAAAAUUGUGCAUCGACUCACUUUUAAUAUUAGUUUUCCAUGUAUUAGCAGUCCCUAUUAUAUGUGAGGUAGUAGUUCAAAUUUUAUGUUCAGUGAGAACUUGAGCAGGUGAAAAUCAUGUGUGAAGGAUUGUGAAUUAAUUUUUGUAUGUUCUUACUGAUUUGUAGGUAGGAGACUGGCUUUGCUUGUGUUUGCUUGGUCCAAAAUAACCCCUUAUUCAGAAAUUCAGUCAUGCCCAAUAGGUAGCUCCACAAAGAUCUGUGAAUGUGAUACUCUGUUUUGUUCUUUCUACAUAUGGGUUGGGCAUAUGUUGUGUUCUGUAUAGAAAUAUUCACCAUUUGUUUUUUGGUGCCUUGAUCAGGCAUGGUGAGUUAGCGCUUGGGGCAAUCUAAUAGAAGUUCCAUUUACUUUACUAUUCACUUUGGUCAAACAUUAGUAAUCUGAACUAUCACUCACGCACUUAUCUUUGAAGCUUCAUUGCCCCUGGUAAACUUUGACAUGAAGUGAAAAUCACGUAAGCAAUGAUUCAGCUUUUGUUUGGUUUAGGCCUUUAGUGGAUAGUUUUUUGGGUUCAUUGCAAAGUGCAAUUUCCUGGCAAUAUGUAGGGAAUAUGGUUUUGGCUCCUGGCAACUUUGCUUCGUAUGAGUCUAAUCCGUAUAAACUUAACAAACUGACCUUUGGUAUUUGUGGCAUUUUAUUCAGUACUGCUACCUUAGAGUUGGUUAUGUCAGGUUAGCUCGUCAUUUAGUAAAUAAGUAUGCCCUGCCACUAGGAGGUUGUAGUACCACUAGCCUGAGGACUAUAUCACUGCAUGUACGUUGCAUGCCUGCUUCCCUGCGUUGCUAUUAGUCUCUUCAUCUAAGGUUGGCAACUUUUUUUAUGAUUGAAUUUUGGCCUUUUGCUGUUAGCACAACCUAUGAUCUUUUUAAUGUUAGCACAAUAUCCAUCCUCACUAUUCACUGUGUGUUUGUUGAUUCAAUCCCGUUUUGAGUUCUCCCAGUAAUCUGUUCUAAUAAAAUUUUGAGAGCAGCUAAUGGUGUGAAGUAAUAUGAUCUUGUCGAACGGAAAGGGCCAGUUGCUGAAAAGGGCUCCAACUUUGCAGCUCUGAAGGUUCAUUUUGACUGCAUAUACCGCAGCAUCAACACAGUGUCAAGCUGCGAGUCCAAACUCCAAGCAAGGCCAGGAGUAUCACCCACGUGACAUGGCAAACCAUACCUGAUCUUUGUGUUAGUUUUGCUACUCAUGCUCUAAUUAUUCAUCUUUUAUGAAGAUUCAUGUAGCAGUGAUAUUGCGAACAUCGUUUUGGAAAUGUUAUUUUUAAGAUAACGAUAUAACACACGUUUAUAUUUAUAUUAUCAUGUUAUAUUAUUUUC